CAGUCGCCGCGGUAAAACGGAGGGCGCGAGCGUUACCCGGAUUUACUGGGCGUAAAGGGCGUGUAGGCGGCCUGGGGCGUCCCAUGUGAAAGGCCACGGCUCAACCGUGGAGGAGCGUGGGAUACGCUCAGGCUAGAUGGUGGGAGAGGGUGGUGGAAUUCCCGGAGUAGCGGUGAAAUGCGCAGAUACCGGGAGGAACGCCGAUGGCGAAGGCAGCCACCUGGUCCACUUCUGACGCUGAGGCGCGAAAGCGUGGGGAGCAAACCGGAUUAGAGACCCCCGUAGUCCCUGUCUCUUAUAC
rnacentral:rRNA from 1 species